rnacentral:rRNA from 1 species
UGGGGAAUAUUGGGCAAUGGGGGAAACCCUGACCCAGCAACGCCGCGUGAAGGAAGAAGGUUUUCGGAUCGUAAACUUCUAUCCUUGGUGAAAAUGAUGAUGGUAGCCAAGAAGGAAGACCCGGCUAACUACGUGCCAGCAGCCGCGGUAAUACGUAGGGGGCAAGCGUUGUCCGGAAUGAUUGGGCGUAAAGGGCGCGUAGGCGGCCUUUUAAGUCUGAAGUGAAAGUCCUGCUUUUAAGGUGGGAACUGCUUUGGAUACUGGAAGGCUUGAGUGCAGGAGAGGUAAGCGGAAUUCCCGGUGUAGCGGUGAAAUGCGUAGAGAUCGGGAGGAACACCAGUGGCGAAGGCGGCUUACUGGACUGUUACUGACGCUGAGGCGCGAAAGUGUGGGGAGCAAACAGG